CCUUACAGCGUCGAGAACAGAGACCGUCGUCGAUUUGAUGGCCAAAAGCUACGGAAUUCGCCGUCGCACCGAAGAUCGCCGCAGGGAUGAAACCCUAGCUUUUUUGAGAGAGGAGAGAAAUGAAUGGAAUCACGCGAGAUCCCGUCUUUCCACAACGUCAACGCGGAAACGACCAGCCAAUCCGUGCGUGACGCGUGGCUUGACCUCGCCCCUUACGGGUUCAUAACUAAGGCCCGGUUCAGCGAUAUAUACCCAUUUUACAUUUUUUUUUAAUUGAUCGGGCCUAAGAUCCCGAGCCCAUGACCCCCUCUUAAACCGCUGAUGCGGAUGGUCUAAUAACUUUUGCCAAUACAUUCCACCACGCGUUGCAGCCUCUUAAGAUUCCAGCGUUCAUGUUAUGAUACAAAGAUGUUUCUCAUAAUGCUUUUCAAACUACAAUUGUGUUAUACAUAUACUUUUUCAUAUACUCUAUCGGUUGAUCCGGUCAACGUUUAGUGGUAUAGAGUGGACUGGUUACCACAUUGCUUGACCCGAGUUUGGAAUACUUUCUAACUAAUGUCAGGAAUAGACCAAUCAUCUGUUACGACCCACGAUGUUAACCACUUGAGACGAAGCCCAAGCCCAAACUGGCUAAGUAAUAAUAAUUUAGUUUCUAACUAAAAUUAAAGCCAUGACUGAUGUGGAUAGAAACACCAAACACCAAAAGAUUACUAUUAGAUUACCA
rnacentral:lncRNA from 1 species